UGAGGAACAUGACCUUCGGCGGGGGAUAGCCGGCCCAACGGCCGGGUAAUACCGCGUACGACCACUUUGGGACAUCCCUCGGUGGUGAAAGCAGCAAUGCGCCGAUGGAGUGCCUCGCGGCCUAUCAGCUAGUUGGUGAGGUAACGGCUCACCAAGGCGACGACGGGUAGCCGGCCUGAGAGGGCGACCGGCCACACUGGGACUGAGACACGGCCCAAACUCCUACGGGGAGGCAG
rnacentral:rRNA from 1 species